rnacentral:rRNA from 1 species
GACGAACGCUGGCGGCGUGCUUAACACAUGCAAGUCGAACGGAAAGGCCCCUUUGGGGGUACUCGAGUGGCGAACGGGUGAGUAACACGUGAGUAACCUGCCCUUGACUUCGGGAUAACUUCAGGAAACUGGGGCUAAUACCGGAUAGGAAUCCUUGCUGCAUGGUGGGGGUUGGAAAGCUUCGGCGGUUUUGGAUGGACUUGCGGCUUAUCAGCUUGUUGGUGGGGUAGUGGCUUACCAAGGCUUUGACGGGUAGCCGGCCUGAGAGGGCGACCGGCCACAUUGAGACUGAGAUACGGCCCAGACUCCUACGGGUGGCAGAAGUGGGGAAUAUUGCACAAUGGGCGUAAGCCAGAUGCAGCAACGCCGCGGGCGGGAUGACGGUCUUCGGGUUGUAAACCGCUUUCAGCAGGGGCGAAGCUUGUGGUGACGGUACCUGCAGAAGAAGCACCGGCUAACUACGUG